rnacentral:rRNA from 1 species
UCAAGAAACUUCCACAAUGGGCGAAAGCCUGAUGGAGCGACGUCGCGUGAUGGACGAAGUGCUUCGGCACGUAAACAUCUUUUAUGUGGGAUGAAAUUAUUGACAGUACCACAUGAAUAAGGGGCUCCUAACUCUGUGCCAGCAGGAGCGGUAAUACAGAGGCCCCAAGCGUUAUCCGGAAUCACUGGGCCCGUAAAGGGUGUCGAGGCGGUUGUAUUAGUCGUUCGUAAAAUCUACGAGCUUAACUUGUAGGCGGCGAACGAAACGGUACGACUUGAGGUUUGGAGAGGUGCGUGGAACUCACGGUGUAGGGGUGAAAUCCGUUGAUAUCGUGGGGAACACCAAAGGCGAAGGCAGCGCACUGGCCAAAAUCUGACGCUCACACACGAAAGCUAGGGUAGCGAAGAGGAUUAGAUACCCCCGUAGUCCCUGAGCGGGCUGGCAAGGCGCAU